ACUGUAGGUAUGGUUAUUGUGUGUCUCUUGAUUGUAAGAUAAUGCGACCAAUUAUUAUGGAUUAAUGCCAUGCAGUGUAACAUAUGUCAUAACUGCAAAUUAAAACAGUGAUCUCACUCCCGAAGAGACGGCGAGGGUGGCGAAGACAAGUUACCAAAAAAAGAAGACGGUUCGAAAUACAAAAUGCAAACCGCAAAUUCGUGGACAAUUUGGAUACCAUAUGCCACCAAGAAGUCAAGGUCAAAUGUCGUCCACGGU